rnacentral:snRNA from 1 species
GUACUUACACUGUGCCGGAGCCUUUUUGAUCACUGAGGAUGAGCCCCCAGCGUGAGGUGCAGGCAUUGCACUGUACUCACGUUGACCCCUGCCACUACCCCAAGCUGGGGCAGAUGGGGCAUGCAAAUUGCUUUAAUCCGGUUCAACGCAAGAGCAGCCGAA